rnacentral:rRNA from 1 species
ACACAUGCAAGUCGAACGGUAGAGGGGCACCCUUGAGAGUGGCGAACGGGUGAGUUAAUAUUAUCGGAACGUGCCCAGUCGGUGGGGAUAACGUAGCGAAAGCUACGCUAAUACCGCAUACGAUCUAUGGAUGAAAGCGGGGGAUCGCAAGACCUCGCGCGAUUGGAGCGGCCGAUAUCAGAUUAGGUAGUUGGUGAGGUAAAGGCCCACCAAGCCGACGAUCUGUAGCUGGUCUGAGAGGACGACCAGCCACACUGGGACUGAGACACGGCCCAGACUCCUACGGGAGGCAGCAGUGGGGAAUUUUGGACAAUGGGCGCAAGCCUGAUCCAGCAAUGCCGCGUGCAGGAUGAAGGCCUUCGGGUUGUAAACUGCUUUUGUACGGAACGAAACGGUGAGCUCUAAUACAGUUUGCUAAUGACGGUACCGUAAGAAUAAGCACCGGCUAACUACGUG